GCCAGGGUGGAAGUACAAAGAAGGCAGAGUGCUAAGGGAGGAAGGAAAGCUGUAAAGAGCAGAAAAUAUCAACACCAGGCCAGGGGCCCAGGAAGGGUCCCAGAGCCCUGUCAAGCCCUCAGACCUGGAGCUGGAACACGGACUACUGCCUACGACUGAGGAACCCAAACACCUAGGCCUGCACAAGAGAGAGACAAAGCUAGGGUCCCACUACCCAAGACCAGCUCAGGAGCGUCUACACUCGAGAGUGCCACCUUCUGCCGCUUCUGCGAGUCACCUACCAAGGUCCAUUGCAAUCAAACACCAGAGAAUGAAUACACACACUGCCAACCAAAGAUGCCUAAACCACUUCUUCUGCCCAUGCUCAUGGAUUUCUACCCAGUUCCACAGGAUCCCAACAGUGUCCCCCAGAAGUUGAUGGGACCAUGAGAAAAGAGAUACAUGGUCUUCAGCACAGAGCAGGAUUAAGUGACGCUGUUACUGUGGUAGAAAAGCCACGAGGCAUGACAAAACCCACUGUCAGAGCUUUAUGAGGAGAAGAGAGGAACAGAAGAAAGCAUGAGCAGGCCUGUGGAAGACAUGUGCAGAGAGAGAAGGCGGGGAGGAGAAGGAGAGAAGAAGGGGAAGGAGUCUGGUGCCCCGCUUCUUAUGGAUUCCUCUGCACAUACACAUAUGGACUUAUGGAGCUACACCACGCAUGUGCAUAGAUUGUGUGGUCACCCUGCAUGCAAAUUACAAGAUCACGCAGUGCACAGAUUAUGUAGGAUGUAAGACCCCUUGCUUGGCUACUGAACUGCACAUGUGCAGUCAUGCAGCUGGGGGAGUGGCCAGGAAUUCCAACACCCACCCCCGCCUGGUUUCCUAUGGAGACAAGAUGGCAGGCUGCCUCCAGCUCUUGCUGCCAUGCCUUUCCAGCCAUGAUGGACCCUACCCCAGCCUGUGAGCCAACAUAAACACUUCAUUCCUUUGAGAUGACAUCCCCAGGAUGCUUGUUAUAAGCUAUUCUAAUGUGGCAGUGUGCACUCUUUUUUUUUUUUUUAAUUUAUUGUGAGGAAGAGGGGUGUGUGCAUGCCA